UACGGAGGAUCCGAGCGUUAUCCGGAUUUAUUGGGUUUAAAGGGUGCGCAGGCGGGAGAUUAAGUCGGCGGUGAAAUUUUGCAGCUCAACUGUAAAAGUGCCUUCGAAACUGGUUUCCUUGAGUGUAGAUGAGGUAGGCGGAAUUUGUGGUGUAGCGGUGAAAUGCUUAGAUAUCACGAGGAACUCCGAUUGCGCAGGCAGCUUACUAAACCACUACUGACGCUCAGGCACGAAGGCGUGGGGAUCAAACAGGAUUAGAUACCCGGGUAGUCCCU
rnacentral:rRNA from 1 species